GGGGGUGAGAGCUGAGGGCAUUCAUGUUGCGCCCUGUGUGGGUGUAUAACUGGGUGAGAUGUGUGCUGAGUCGUCAGCAUGACUGCAAGCCUGGCUAGCUCCAAGGAGACAAAUACUCAAAUGGGAGUGCUAAAUUAUGCCUGACACCUCAAUGAAGACUUCAGGUGCACUCCCCCAACUGCAAUAAGCCUAAUGUGAAAGAAGAGAGUUGGGAAUGACAAAGGAAAGCAGACUGUCCAGAAGCUGCAAAGUGGACUGUUGUUACUCCUCAACAGAGGUUUCUGUGGAGAGGCUGAACAAUGGGUACAGAAGCGGAAUGUCUGUCUCCACCCUUCAGCAAAGGGUGUUCCAGUAGCCAACUGCUGGUGAUUAACUUGUCAGACUUGGCGAUAAAGGCCACAGAGAUGAUAUGGCAGAAGAGAAAUAAAAACAACUUC